rnacentral:rRNA from 1 species
GUCGAACGGAAACGAAACUAGCUUGCUAGUAGGCGUCGAGUGGCGGACGGGUGAGUAACGCGUAGGAAUCUGCCUGAUAGUGGGGGAUAGCCCGAAGAAAUUCGGAUUAAUACCGCAUAAUCUAUUCGUAGUAAAGUGAGGGACUUUCGAGCCUCACGCUAUCAGAUGAGCCUGCGUAAGAUUAGCUUGUUGGUAGGGUAAAAGCCUACCAAGGCUACGAUCUUUAGCUGGUCUGAGAGGAUGAUCAGCCACAUCGGGACUGAGACACGGCCCGAACUCCUACGGGAGGCAGCAGUGGGGAAUAUUGGACAAUGGGGGCAACCCUGAUCCAGCAAUACCGCGUGUGUGAAGAAGGCCUGAGGGUUGUAAAGCACUUUCAAUUAUGAAGAAAAGUUAACGGUUAAUAACCGUUGACCUUGACGUUAAUUUUAGAAGAAGCACCGGCUAACUCCGUGCCAGCAGCCGCGGUAAUACGGAGGGUGCAAGCGUUAAUCGGAAUUACUGGGCGUAAAGCGUGCGUAGGCGGUUUAUUAAGUCAGAUGUGAAAGCCCCGGGCUUAACCUGGGAACUGCAUUUGAAACUGGUCAACUAGAGUAUGGUAGAGGAAAGUGGAAUUUCUGGUGUAGCGGUGAAAUGCGUAGAUAUCAGAAGGAACAUCAAUGGCGAAGGCAGCUUUCUGGACCAAUACUGACGCUGAGGUACGAAAGCGUGGGUAGCAAACAGGAUUAGAUACCCUGGUAGUCCACGCCGUAAACGAUGAUAACUAGCCGUUGGGGGGAUUUACCCUUUAGUGGCGAAGCUAACGCGUUAAGUUAUCCGCCUGGGGAGUACGGGCCGCAAGGCUAAAACUCAAAGGAAUUGACGGGGACUCGCACAAGCGGUGGAGCAUGUGGUUUAAUUCGAUGCAACGCGAAGAACCUUACCUGGUCUGACAUCCUGCGAACUUUCUAGAAAUAGAUUGGUGCUUUCGGGACGCAGUGACAGGUGCUGCAUGACUGUCGUCAGCUCGUGUCGUGAGAUGUGGGUAAGUCCGUACGAGCGCAACCCCUAUUCUUAUUUGGCAGCACAUAUUGUGGACUAUAAGGAGACUGGCGGUGAUAACCGCAGGAGGGCGGGGACCACAUCAAGUAUUCAUGGGGCCUUCUAAACAGGCUUACACACCUGCUCCAAUGGGGGAAGAACAAAAUCGGAAGUCUAGGGGGAGCUAAUUCUACUAAAAACUUUUUCUUUAAUCACCCAAAGUAGAAGGAUCGGCA